AUUGAACGCUGGCGGCAUGCUUUACACAUGCAAGUCGAACGGCAGCGCGGGGGCAACCCUGGCGGCGAGUGGCGAACGGGUGAGUAAUGUAUCGGAACGUAUCCUGUAAUGGGGGAUAACCAGUCGAAAGAUUGGGUAAUACCGCAUAUUCUGUGAGCAGGAAAGCAGGGGAUCGCAAGACCUUGCGCUGAUUGAGCGGCCGAUGUCAGAUUAGCUAGUUGGUGAGGUAAAGGCUCACCAAGGCGACGAUCUGUAGCGGGUCUGAGAGGAUGAUCCGCCACACUGGAACUGAGACACGGUCCAGACUCCUACGGGAGGCAGCAGUGGGGAAUCUUAGACAAUGGGGGAAACCCUGAUCUAGCCAUGCCGCGUGAUCGAUGAAGGCCUUAGGGUUGUAAAGAUCUUUUCAGUGGGGAAGAUAAUGACUGUACCCACAGAAGAAGCCCCGGCUAACCUCCGUGCCCAGCAGCCGCGGUAAGACG
rnacentral:rRNA from 1 species